rnacentral:rRNA from 1 species
AUUGAACGCUGGCGGCAUGCCUUACACAUGCAAGUCGAACGGUAACAGGUCUUCGGAUGCUGACGAAUGGCGAACGGGUGAGUAAUACAUCGGAACGUGCCCGAUCGUGGGGGAUAACGAAGCGAAAGCUUUGCUAAUACCGCAUACGAUCUACGGAUGAAAGCAGGGGACCGCAAGGCCUUGCGCGAACGGAGCGGCCGAUGGCAGAUUAGGUAGUUGGUGGGAUAAAAGCUUACCAAGCCGACGAUCUGUAGCUGGUCUGAGAGGACGACCAGCCACACUGGGACUGAGACACGGCCCAGACUCCUACGGGAGGCAGCAGUGGGGAAUUUUGGACAAUGGGCGAAAGCCUGAUCCAGUCAUGCCGCGUGCAGGAUGAAGGCCUUCGGGUUGUAAACUGCUUUUGUACGGAACGAAAAGACUCUGGUUAAUACCUGGGGUCCAUGACGGUACCGUAAGAAUAAGCACCGGCUAACUACGUG